UACAGAGGGUGCGAACGUUGUUCGGAAUCACUGGGCAUAAAGCGCGCGUAGGCGGUCCUGUAAGUGUGGAGUGAAAGCCCACGGCUCAACCGUGGAUGUGCUUUGCAUACUGCAGGACUCGAGGACGGUAGGGGAGAGCGGAACUCCUGGUGGAGCGGUGAAAUGCGUAGAUAUCAGGAGGAACACCGGUGGCGAAGGCGGCUCUCUGGUCCGUUUCUGACGCUGAGGUGCGAAAGCCAGGGGAGCGAACGGG
rnacentral:misc_RNA from 1 species